rnacentral:tRNA from 11 species
GCGCAGGUAGAGCGUAAUUCUUAUCUGACUACGGAUCAGAAGGUUGGGGGUUCGAAUCCCUCCGGGCGCA